rnacentral:lncRNA from 1 species
GAAAAAAAGUACGACCCAGUACAAUACCACUCAGUGGUGUCUGGGGAGGGUAGUGUGUACGCAGCCUUACCCCUACCCUGGGGUAGAGAGCCUGUUUCCAAAUAGACCCCCGGCAUAAAUCCCCAGAAUUUGCUCCUGGGGAGACUCGAACUCACAACCUCUCGGUUGUAAGUGACACUUACCCCUACCCUGGGGUAGAGAGGCUAUUUCCAAAUAGACCCCCGGCAUAUAUCCCCAGAAUUUGCUCCUGGGGAGACUCGAACUCACAACCUCUCGGUUGUAAGUGAGGGUUGGUUACCAUCAGACCAAGC